CCUUUAAUAUGGACGGUCUGCUUUUUUAGCACGAUGCCUUCAAAUCUGCGGAAAACCGCCACCUUCCCGGUGCAGUUUAGUGUAAGACUCAGUCAGGAGGCAAGUAGAUAACCCUGGAAAUCCCACUACUGUGAGCUUGAAUUACAGCUGAAAUGCAAGCCCAAGAGAGUGAGGAUCCACCUGCGCUGGAUCUAAUGGGUCGAAAGUAAAAACAGACCAUCUCUUGAUGGACACUGGGUCUGAGGGCACAUCCUCUGCAGCUGGACGUGGCAGUUAAACAUGGCUCUGUCUCAAGGACAUGUCUCGCAAAUGUAGCGUGAGAGGAAGGAUUUCCCAAACUAAUAGCAAUUUUGUUCAAAGAAAGACAGUUACAGCCAAGUGGAGCUCUGCUGUGAGUCUGCCUUAUGUUGGGAUGAAUUUAUGGUUUUAUUCGGCAAUAAAAUA